GUGUUUGCUUUGGCAACAUACAUGCUAAAAUUGGAACAACACAAAGAAGAUUAGCAUGGUCCUUGAAUAAGAAUGAUGUACAGAUUAAUGAAGAAUUUUAUAUUUUC